UACGGGGGGGGCAAGCGUUGUUCGGAAUUACUGGGCGUAAAGGGUUUGUAGGUGGCUUGCUAAGUCAGACGUGAAAUCCCUCGGCUUAACCGGGGAACUGCGUCUGAUACUGGAUGGCUUGAGUUCGGGAGAGGGAUGCGGAAUUCCAGGUGUAGCGGUGAAAUGCGUAGAUAUCUGGAGGAACACCGGUGGCGAAGGCGGCAUCCUGGACCGAUACUGACGCUGAGGAGCGAAAGCCAGGGGAGCAAACGGG
rnacentral:rRNA from 1 species